AACGCACAUUGCGCCCGCCAGUAUUCUGGCGGGCAUGCCUGUCUGAGCGUCAUUUCAACCCUCGAGCCCCUCUGGACUCGGCGUUGGGGACUGGCCGUCCUAGCGGCGGCCUGCCCCGAAAUAUAGUGGCGGUCUCGCUGUAGCCUCCUCUGCGUAGUAGUAAAGCCCUCGCAGGCGGAGAGCGGCCUGGCCACGCCGUAAAACCCCCCCCGAACAUCCAAGGUUGACCUCAGAUCAGGUAGGAAUACCCGCUGAACUUAA
rnacentral:misc_RNA from 1 species